rnacentral:siRNA from 1 species
GACGUCGGCGGGGGCCUCGGGA